UUACUGGACGUCGAGCGGCGGACGGGUGAGUAACGGCUGGGAACCUGCCCUGACGAGGGGGAUAACCGUUGGAAACGACGGCUAAUACCGCAUAAUGUCUACGGACCAAAGGUGGCCUCUACAUGUAAGCUAUCGCGUCGGGAUGGGCCCAGUUAGGAUUAGCUAGUUGGUAAGGUAACGGCUUACCAAGGCGACGAUCCUUAGCUGGUUUGAGAGGAUGAUCAGCCACACUGGGACUGAGACACGGCCCAGACUCCUACGGGAGGCAGCAGUGGGGAAUAUUGCACAAUGGGGGAGACCCUGAUGCAGCCAUGCCGCGUGUGUGAAGAAGGCCUUCGGGUUGUAAAGCACUUUCAGCAGUGAGGAAGGUAGUGUACUUAAUACGUGCAUUGCUUGACGUUAGCUGCAGAAGAAGCACCGGCUAACUCCGUGCCAGCAGCCGCGGUAAUACGGAGGGUGCGAGCGUUAAUCGGAAUUACUGGGCGUAAAGCGCAUGCAGGCGGUUUGUUAAGUCAGAUGUGAAAGCCCGGGGCUCAACCUCGGAACCGCAUUUGAAAC
rnacentral:rRNA from 1 species